AUUGAACGCUGGCGGCAUGCCUUACACAUGCAAGUCGAACGGUAACAGGUUAAGCUGACGAGUGGCGAACGGGUGAGUAAUGUAUCGGAACGUGCCCAGUCGUGGGGGAUAACUACUCGAAAGAGUGGCUAAUACCGCAUACGACCUGAGGGUGAAAGCGGGGGACCGUAAGGCCCCGCGCGGUUGGAGCGGCCGAUAUCAGAUUAGCUAGUUGGUGGGGGAAAAGCCCACCAAGGCGGCGAUGUUUAGCUGGUCCGAGAGGACGACCAGCCACACUGGGACUGAGACACGGCCCAGACUCCUACGGGAGGCAGCAGUGGGGAAUUUUGGACAAUGGACGCAAGUCUGAUCCAGCCACGCCGCGUGCGGGAAGAAGGCCUUCGGGUUGUAAACCGCUUUUGUCAGGGAAGAAACGAGUUUCUCUAAUACAGAGACUUAAUGACGGUACCUGAAGAAUAAGCACCGGCUAACUACGUGCCAGCAGCCGCGGUAACAC
rnacentral:rRNA from 1 species